CGCAAUUGAAAGGGAAUUAAGAGAUCUUGCUAAUGAAGGACAAACACGAAUGAUACUAAAUGUUAAUAAUUGGACUCACUCUCAGCGUUCAAAUGCCUGAAAGUUGGUGGAGGAUUCAAAAACAAUCUU